UGCUUUGCACACGUGGUUCUCCUUCCCCAUUGCCGCUAUUGUCCAGUGGGUUUGGGAUUCAUAUGAGUUCCCUUAAUAAUUUGAAUGCAAUCGAUGGUUCAUUCAAGCUCACUAGAUACAUCUUAGGUUGUGAUGUUUACACAGUGAAGGUCCUUCAAUAGAUCUGUAUCCACUUAUGUCAGUAUAUUUUCCUGAACAAAGAAAAUGAAAACCUAAUCUUUGGUUAGCAUUUACUAUAUUGGAUUCUUGUUUUUCACGGUGUUUUUGUUUCCCUUGACCUUCAUAAUGGAGAUACCAAUUCAAGAUUUGCUUCCAAAGGACCAAUACAUAAAUUACUUAAUAACCUAACUACUGUUAUUCACUUAUAUUAGUUUUCCAUUUCAAUUUCCCCUUACAGCAACAACAAAGAUGAAGACAAAUGUAUAGUUGCUUAUACUUCAAGCCACUCUAUUUGAUCAUUGCUAUGUGGAAUUCAUUCAGCGCCAAGUUUUAAGUUCAAAAACUAUAAAAGAGACACCACCUGGGCACUUUAGAACUCCCCACCAUCAUAUUACGGAAGUAGUACGCUACCGGCGCAUCUUAGAGUACGCCACCGGAUUGCUGAUCUUAACUGUUCCGGUGACGAUGUCCGAUCAAAGCCCUAAAUCAAUUUUCCCGGUGAUCAUCUUCUCAAAUGUUCAGUGGUUACUUUCAUCUUCUGUUAUGCUUCCGGUUCAUCUGGCCCUUCUAACUAUGGGUUCGAAUGCUUGCUUUACACUAGCAACAUCAAAAUACUGCAAUUUAGAUGAUAUACAUGUUUUCCCAGCAAGCUUUGCCCUAAAGGAGAGGCUGAAAAGUGUUUGCACCUUGGAAUUGAUGAUUGUAGACAAGAUGUUGGUAAAAUAGUCAUUGUUCGUGAUGUAUUUUACAACCAACCAGUUCGAAGGAAGCAAAUGCACUCCAACCCAAAGAGGGUCUUGCAUUCUAUGAAGUGUCUCUGCUAAGAAUCGCCCUUGUGCAUCCUAGUGGCUCCUUCAAAAUUGUUGAUAUUGAUAGAUAUCAAUUCAAGAUUUGCUUCCAAAGGACCAAUACAUAAAUUACUUAAUAACAUAGUGAUGAGCAGCAAAGUCGAUCUCAGUUGUAUCCACUGUUUUAUUGAACCUAAACUGCCCAAGAUCUUUAUAUGAUUUGACUUUGGAGCCUUCAAUGACCUCUGUGGAAUUUAAGGAUCUGGUGUCUCAUGAGAUGGACUGGUGCUGAUGGGAAAAAGCUAUGCUACAUCAAAAUAGAACCAUUCAGAUUAUAUGUACACUUCCCCAGCAAGCUUUGGCUUUGAAGGAGAUGCUCUGAGCUUUAUUUCGGACGUUUCCUUGUUGGAAAUUGUUACUAAAACUCACGGGAGGCCAAAUGGAUAUCGUAAGGUUUUGAAGUCAUUGUCCGUGAUGUAUUUUACAACCAACCAGUUCGAAGGAAGCAAAUACACUCCCAACCCAAAGAGGGUCUUGCAUUCUCUGAAAGAGUCUCUGCUAAGAAUACUCCUUGUGCAUCCCAGUGGCUCCUUCAAAAUUGUUGAUUUUGAAAGGUCCGUCUUUGUUACACCAGCUAACUUAAAGAUAUUUCCUUUAUGGUUUCUUAGAUUUUGUUCAUUUGCAUGUAGUGUGGAUUUCCAGCUUUGAACAUGUGCUUCUCCUUCUCUAUUGUCUAGUGGGUUUGGGAUUCAUCCUUCACAAUUUGAAUGGAAGCGAUGGUUCAUUGAAGCUCUUAGGAUACAUCUCAAGGCCCAAAUUGAUGGGUAUACAGGUCCUGAUGUUUACACAGUGGAGGUCCUUCAAUAGUUCUGUAUCCACUUAUUUCAGUUUAUUUUCCUGAACAACGCAGUGUUAUCAAAUGCGAAAAGAGCAAAAAAGCUCUAAGGUUCAUUGGGGCUUUAAGCGCAGAGCACAAAUAAAGUGUGGGCUUUAAUGAAAAAAGGCGCAAAGGGAGAAAAAGAUACAAAUAUAUAUGUUUAGUCCAAAACCAAUAAUUAUAAACAUGAAUGACAAAUAUAUGACCAAGAAAUUGAAAAAAAAGUAUGAUAAAGUGAAAUAUCAAUUAUUUAGUAUCACUUCUUCAAAAGAGGCUCAUUGGCAAGGAAAAGUUUGCCUUAGAACCUUGAUGACCACACUUAAGCGCACAUAAAGCGAGGCGAAGCGUUUAACACGUUUUGAGCCUCGCUUCAGGGCUUAAGCGUGCUUACAGCGCGCCUUUGACAACACUGGAACAA